rnacentral:rRNA from 1 species
UACGGGGGGGGCAAGCGUUGUUCGGAAUUACUGGGCGUAAAGGGCUCGUAGGCGGCCAACUAAGUCGGACGUGAAAUCCCUCGGCUUAACCGGGGAACUGCGUCCGAUACUGGAUGGCUUGAGUUCGGGAGAGGGAUGCGGAAUUCCAGGUGUAGCGGUGAAAUGCGUAGAUAUCUGGAGGAACACCGGUGGCGAAGGCGGCAUCCUGGACCGACACUGACGCUGAGGAGCGAGAGCCAGGGGAGGCAAACGGG